rnacentral:rRNA from 1 species
UACGUAGGGUGCAAGCGUUAAUCGGAAUUACUGGGCGUAAAGCGUGCGCAGGCGGCUUUGCAAGACAGAUGUGAAAUCCCCGGGCUCAACCUGGGAACUGCAUUUUGUGACUGCAAGGCUAGAGUACGGUAGAGGGGGAUGGAAUUCCGCGUGUAGCAGUGAAAUGCGUAGAUAUGCGGAGGAACACCGAUGGCGAAGGCAAUCCCCUGGGCCUGCACUGACGCUCAUGCACGAAAGCGUGGGGAGCAAACAGG